rnacentral:rRNA from 1 species
UCAGCUCUUUGAGUGCGUUCUUGUGGGCGUGUGAGAGUCUUUAACGGGCCUCGCUGUUUGCAAUGUUUGUGCUUUUUGGGUGUACUUUUUCGUAUGGUAGGCCAACGUCAGUUUCGAUUAUCAUAAAAUGAUCAGAGGAAUGUAGCUUUGAUUUCGAUUGAAGUGUUWUAGCCUUUGGUAGAUGUGGUAAUCGAAACUGAGGAUUGCAACGAAUACCCUUUGGGCUAUCCGUCUGACCUCUGAAAGUUACUUAGGUGCCGAAAGCUUGCUUACAGCCAUUUCAGUUGGCGGUCAAUAGGUUAGAACGUGAUUAC